UUUUACGAUUUACCGAAUAUAUUCAAUGAAUAUCAACUGACAGAAAUCAGAAAAGUGACGCUUGCCAGAAUCUUUUGUGAUAACAGCAAUAAUGUCACAAUGAUGCAGAAAAAAGUAUUUUUGAUACCUGAAAUGGCUGAUUUGCACCUCUGUAGUUCCCAAUUAAUUCCAAAAAUCAACAUCAAUCACUGGUCAGAUAUGGUCGAUACAUUUCAAAAAUGACCUCGUAUAAAUCAUUGAUGUAUUUAUUUAUAAUGUAUUAUUGAUGAAAAACAA